rnacentral:misc_RNA from 1 species
GAUGAAGAACGUAGCGAAAUGCGAUAACUAAUGUGAAUUGCAGAAUUCAGUGAAUCAUCGAGUCUUUGAACGCACAUUGCGCCCCCUGGUAUUCCGGGGGGCAUGCCUGUCCGAGCGUCAUUGCUGCCCUCAAGCACGGCUUGUGUGUUGGGCUCCGUCCCCCCGGGGACGGGCCCGAAAGGCAGCGGCGGCACCGAGUCCGGUCCUCGAGCGUAUGGGGCUUUGUCACCCGCUCUGUAGGCCCGGCCGGCGCCAGCCGACAACCCAUCAUCCUUUUCAGGUUGACCUCGGAUCAGGUAGGGAUACCCGCUGAACUUAAGCAUAUCAAUAGCGGAGGA